rnacentral:rRNA from 1 species
CCCUUAGAUGUCCUGGGCCGCACGCGUGCUACACUGACGCCUACAGCGAGUACUUCCCAGCCCCGAGAGGUGGCUGGUAACCAGCAAUAGGCGUCGUGAUGGGGAUAGAUCUUUGGAAUUAUGGAUCUUGAACGAGGAAUGCCUAGUAAGCGCAGGUCAUUAGCCUGCGCUGAUUAAGUCCCUGCCCUUUGUACACACCGCCCGUCGCUCCUACCGAUUUCGAGUGGUCCGGUGAAUCUUUCGGACUGCGCGCGGCCUCGUGCCGUGUCGCGGAAAGUCAGGUAAACCUUAUCACUUAGAGGAAGGAGAAGUCGUAACA